GAGAAACUCUUCACAUGAUCUAGCAAGGUAAAGUACAGGCCCUUUUGUGAUUCAUCUUUUAUGGGUGUUAACCACAAGCUCCUGCCCUUCUGAGGGAGCCAUCAUGUCCUGUAACUCAGAUGAUUCUAGUGUCAGUGUUAAAGCAUUCCUUCAACAUGGGAUAACAAUUUGCUAUGCUUCAAAAUUCUGUUGCUCCAGUGGGUAAUCAUGUAAUCAUUACCAUCUUAUCUGUAAGACAGUAAUAAUUUUGCUGCUAUGGGAUGGGAGGGAGCAUUGUGAGGAUAAACCUGUAACUACGUGGAAUGUAAAGGGAUAUAGCAAUUAGAGAUGCAAGGAAAGAUCUUACUGAUAAAAAGUGGAGAAUUCUUCCUGGAGAUACAGCAAUUUGGAGGACUGAGUUCAGAUUUUAACAGGACAAUGCAAAACAGCUUUGAAAAAUGGUUUGUUUUUUGUUUCUCUCUGCUGUGCAAAACUGCAUGCACAGUAAGGAAUAAAAUGCAUGGUUCAUAGCAAUUAUGUGCACUUCACAUCUCUUUAGACACUGAGCUUUGGUACAGUUGUUUAAGGGGGCAAACACAGCUUUGGCCUGUGGUAAAACUGUGAACCAUGCACAGAUUUGUCGAAAGUUUCAAAGAAUUUGUUUCCCUAAAGAUCUUUUUCAUUAGUUAAAUCAAUGUGUCAAACCACAAGAUGGAGUUAAUGCAGUUUGUCAGAGAGACUUGUGCUUUGUUUUAUGCCAGAGUUGUCAAAUUCAUAUAACAAGAAGAUUCCAAGUCAGCAAUGGCAGACAUUAACAAAAGUUGCAGUAAAAUACACUGUGCUAGAAAAAAAAUUAAAUAAAAUGUUCUGGUUCAGGAGUUAGUCAGAAUGGAAUACACCACAUUUGUCAGUAAGUGAUAUAUGAGGUGGAGCUGAAAUGUCCCAAAUAUAUUUUAUUACUCUUUGGAACUGUCUUUGUAUAAAAUUUCUAAUUUGUGUAUAAAUGUUUUGUUUCAGAGAGAAAGCUGUAAGAUGGGAAAUGAUGUGACAGGUUUAAUUAUAUUUAAGAGAAUACAGAGGAGAUCAAAGCCAAAGAGAUAAAAGCUGCAACUACUGUGUGGGCUGGAAACUUCUUGUGAAUCAUAAGCACCCUUAAGUGCAGUGCUUCAGAGGCAGACGUCCUGAAUUCAGGACAGAGGCACAGCCGAAAUGGAAAUUCUCUUUUUACAGUGUUUUAUGACCUGUAUUGGCUGCUCUUGGUGAGUCCUGUACUUAGGCAGGCACCAAAAUGUCUGGGAACAUUCACAAGCAAACAGUAAACCCAACUGUGCCACCUAAGUCAGCGGCUCCAAAAUAACCCCUCAGGGGCAGAAUUGCUGUGAGCUGUUUGCAGAGACGGCAUUUGACUGUGGGCCAAGAAAAAUCUUGUAACCACAGAGGUAAUCAGAACCCCUAUGGCAGUAAUGACUCUGUCACAGUUUUCACUAGCUAUUAGGAAUUUGGAAGGAAUGAGCUUCCUCCACCACUACCUUUUUUAUUGGUGCUGUAUAAUCGAUCACUAAACCAAAGUUAUCAAACUUCUGCAUCUCCCUUCUGAAAGACAGUACUUAAUAAAGGAAGUGUAAGCCAAAAAAAGGUCCUGCUAGUAUUUCAAGCAAAGAUGCAUCUCCACAGUUUUACUUCUGUUGUUUUACUCUAAAUCCACUAAUCCUCUAUACUCUGCUCUCCUCAAAGCAUUGCUGCUGUAUUCCCCUCUUCAGAGGAAAAAAAAAAUCCAGAAUCCCUACAUUUCUCCCUGGAAAGUUUCUCCCCACUCUGUUCCCCAGCCUUUGCACCCCAAUCCUCUAGAUCCAAAAAUCGUCUGGAUCCAGUGCGCCUCCAACUCAAGUUUCUUGAGGAGAUUCCUUCCCUUCUUGUAGGUGGGCAUAAGAUGUCUGUUGCUUCUGCUACACAAGCAGAAAAAAAGGCAUCAGGCUGCCUUGGACAUGGGGCAUUUGAUUGAAAGGAAAGAGCAGGUCUUUUUCUUGGAGAGUCAGGUACCCAGUGAAGUGUUUUGAGGAGGUGCAAUCUGUUGUUGGUGCAUGUGGCUGAGUAAAACUGCUGUUAGAAACAAACUGUUAUUCAAUGUUACCAAAGGAUGUAACUCACCUCUGAGCGGCUGUCCAGGAUAUUUCUCUUCUCCCUUGCGGUUUUUUAGACAUCGGGUAGUUCAAUUGGCUUCUCUGCAGAUCUGAAAAGCCCAGUCAGGAGGAUGAAGUAGAAAUGCUCGCAAUUGUCUUAGUUCAGUCCCAAGCUUAUCAAAGUCAUCACACCAGGAAGCAUGGCUGCAUGUAUUCUAAUUUUUUCUGUUCCUACUAUUGUUUAUUAAUAUAUGUGUAGAAGAAGAUGAUAGGGAUGAAACCCCUUUCCUGUGAGGAAAACCUGAGAGAGUUUACAUUGUUCAGACUGGAGAAAACAAAUCUGGGGUGACUUUUUCACAGCUUUUCAGUACCUAAAGGGGGCCUAAAGAAAGCAGGAGAGGGACUUCUUACAAGAGUGUGCAGUGAUAGAACAAGGAGGAAUGGCUUUAAACAAAAAAGAGGGCAGGAUUAGAUUGGUUAUUAGGAAGAAGUUCCUUAAUGUGCAGGAGGUGAGAUUCUGGAAAAUGUUGUCCAGAAAGAAAUACUCCAACUCUGGAAGUGUUCAAGGACUGAUUGGAUGAGAACCUGAGCAGCCUGGUCUACUGGAAGGUGUCCCUGUCCAUGGCAGCAGGGAGCUGGAAUUAAAUGACCUUUCGUUCCCUUCCAAUCUGCACCAUUCUGUGAUUCUACGACAACGUAGAUAUGCAUGUCUGGUAAGUGCUGUCACAUGUUCUUGCAGUCACAUAAAAUAUAUACACAAGGACCGAAUGUUUCUUUUUUUUCCUUACAGAGCAGACUAUACUCAACAGGAGUAAUGAUAUUGUUGCAGAGGGAAUUCCUGGCUUUCUGGGCACUGGAGGCUUGUAAACUGCAAUUUAAAAAAAUCCUGGAUGUUUCUUGGAAUCAUUUGCAGCAUGUGCAGUGAGAAGAGCAUGUCAGAGACACAUGGAUCAGACCACUGUGUACAGCUCUCUGGUGAUGCAUUUAAAAGUGCUGCUGGACUGGGAAUGCCACAUUAGUAGCCACGUGAGGUGGAGGGUGACUGUGAGGGCAGGGUGUCUUCAGGGCAUCGCAACACUAGGCUGCAUCCUGAGAACACGGCAGCAGACAUAGCCUGGAUGCCAUGCCUGGAGACACCAGUUGGAAAAGAAUAUGAAAUAAAGGAGGGUGUUAUGAGUCACCAUCUUCUGGACAAGACAUAGCAGAGUUUGACGAGGAAGAUUCGAGAAUCCUGCCAUGUUUCAGUUUCAGCAUGACUCCAAAAUGAAGGCAUCCCUCCAGCACCUGGUCCUAAUCUGUUCCCUCAUCCUGCUGUGUGAAUUCUCCCUGUAUGCAGGAGAGGAUAGCAAUAUGGGAACACCUUUCCAAUUGGUGUGGAUAGCCAGGUUUUAUUUUUCUAGCUAUUUGGACUUCGUAUACUGAGUCAAAUCCUCAGCAAAUGCAACCUGCUUUGGGUCCAGGGAAGUUAUGAAGUUGAAUCUAUUUAAACCACUUAAAUAUCGGGCCUUUAUUUCUGCAUUUUAACAUCUCUUACUUCACUAAUGUGCAUGAGCUGAGAAAUGCACAGACACACACAUGCAAACACAAGACUGAUGUGCUUCAACAGAAUCAUUCUCAAGAAUUACACACAUGUAGCUGUGGCUCUGAAUCCAGCCCUUCCCCUGUUUCUGUUUGAAAUCUCAGGAUUUUCUAUCUUUGGUAUAAUCUACCAGACUAGCAACAACAAAGCUUGACAAAGACCCUAACAAACAAAUAGUAAAUUUUAAGAAAAGCACACAAAGAACCAGCAUUACAUGAAUCCCAAAAUAACAGUUAAUUUUAAGGCACUCUGGGUUUAUUUUGGCAGCCAUAUCUGUUAGCAUCUGGGGAUGAAGACUUUAAGUUUCAACAGAUGCCCUGAAAUGCAAGGAAACCAAGGGAUUAUUUGAAUUGCAGCAACAGGACAUGGUUGUACUGAUGCCUUAAGUUUUAGCUUUUAUAUUUUUCAGGUUCUGUGCUGCUUUAGUGUGUAGUUCUGAGCUUCAUAUUAGAGGAUAUUAAGCUCUCUUCACAAAGUAGGUUGACAAAACAAUUCCUUCUCUAGUUGGGGACCAAGGACGAAUGAUCCAAAUCUCAGGUCCAAGGGCAUAAACAACAGUGAACUGAAGUGAGAAAACAAGAAGGAUGAGACUUCAUAAGCUAAAGCUAUAAUUAGACAAUUAACUCCAAUAUACAGAUGGACCAGAACUUAUGAAAGUGUGAAACCUUGUGACCGGUUGUCCAUUUUGUGACCAUUUUGGGUCCAUCUUGUGUGUAGCCCUGGCUGGACUCUGGUGUUGCCCAGGGUGUAACCAUUGAGGCCUUCUAAUAAAUACCUACUUUAUUUUUUAACUCCAUCUAGCCUCUGUUCUAGGUCAGCCUUCACAAGGCAUCAGUUCUAAACAGUCAUCAGAGUGACUUAUUACAAAGUGUCCUGCAAGGUACAAAUACCCUUAGAAUAUCACAAGAGACAGAGCUAUGAGAGAACCACUUAUCUUAGUGUCACAGAUACCUUCCUAGACCACCCUCAACAUAUCUUCUAAGCACACCUCCAGACUUAAAAUAGGGCAAUGUCAGGCAGCAUCCCACUCCAUCUGGGUGCAAAGGCCUUCACAGUCUGUUUUCAUGCUGUAGUUAAUCCUCUUUACUCACACAUGCAUCAUUUGUCCUCUGGUACACCUGGCCUUGCUAACAUCACAACAGGCCUCCAAGUGUAAGCCUACAACUCAGGUUGUAUCUGUGCCUUAAUUCCAAAAGCAGUUCCAAGGAUUAAAGGCAAAGCAUUUCCUUCCUGAGGCCCAAGAGGCAGGACCAAUUAAUUUUACUUUUGAUGUCUGAAACCAGAAUUGACAGAAGGGAUCUGAUACAAUUCAUAUAUUGUAUUAUGACAAUGUCAUACUACUCUGAGUGCUGUGGUAAUAUCCACACAUAGGUAGGGUGUCUGGAGAAAUACACCUGCAGCUGUCUGGAGAAAUACACCUGCAGCAUGCUUUGACUAUGAAACUGAUUUUUGCAGGUUUGGUCAUAUGGUGAAUCUUACCAUGAUUCUUUAUGGUCCCAUCAAAUAGAGAAAGCAGAAUCAUGUUUAUAUUGCAUCUGUAUAACUCAUUUUCUACUAGCUUUAUUGGUAGAAAGACAUGGUAGCAUGUCUUUCUUUUUUUCUGCCUGCUGUUACCUAAUAAUACGAGUUUCCAUAUUCAUAAAUUCAGAACAACAAACCACUCCUACACUUUUAGAAGUUAAAUGCAGAGAAGCAAGUACAAAAGCCUGGCACUCAUUUUUUUCCCUAAUAUUUUGUUGCCUAGGUUUUCAGAAAUCCUCGCUAAAAGAAUGCAGUUUGAUUUACAAUUCAAGACCAGAUUUGAUCAUUUUUACAGCACAGACCUCGAUGCCACUUUUUGGAAGCUUGCUGUGUGCACGUUUCAGAGCCCAGGAGACAGCUGUGAGCAUGGUUCCACUGUCACCUAUAGAGUCACCUGCUGGGCUUUAUCCCAGAAUAAAACAUCCUGCAGCAUCCUACCAGGGAGCAUCAUCACCGAUGUGUAGGCAGCACUUGCCCGACUGCCUGUCUCCAUUUCUAGUGUUUUGUUUUUCUUUUCAUUUGGGAGAAUUCUUGGAGCAGUUCUGGUGGUACAGGAUGAGGUGCAGGAGCGAGAGCAUCCCUCUGGAGUCAUCCCUGCUGCUUCCUGAACAGACACCUGAAGGCAACAUCAUUUGGCUAUUUCUGACCUGCAGUACAUUGCUACUUGCAAACCUUUUUAUGCUGUUAUUCAUCUCCUGAGCCAUCUGGCCCCUGUUACAGGAUACCUGCAGAUGGAUUAAUAAACCAAUCUAAUAGAGCUGUACAUAUUAAAUAUACAGCAGAAGCAGCUGUUGAGUGUUUGUUAUGAGCUUUCUAUUUUCCCCUAAUGUUUCAGCCACUGUGAUUUAAAGUUCUAAGCCAGUUCCUUCAAGGAAAGGAACAUUUUUUUCCCCUCAACUACCCCAAAAAAAACAAAAUAAAUUUAUAUCUCAUAAAAGCAGCCUGUCAUUGAAGAACAUGUUAUAAUCAGCAUAAAUAUAAUUCUCUCCUUGGAGUAGAAACUUUUGUUUCAGCCUUUGAAUAGCAUUGUCAACUCAUCUUAUUAUAAUAUACCCCCCUGACAGCUCUCACAUUAAUUGCACCAGAUUGCCCACAGAGUGUUCAUUUGCUUGUUCGUUUACUCUUAACUAAGAAUGACUUAUGGAAAACUUUGCUUCCUUGCCCAUACAAGUGGGGUCAGAGGGAAACCAAACCUAUCUUAAAAGACUUCAAAUCGUAGAUUAUUAAUUUGAAUGGUCCAACUAUGGCUCUUUGGGAUAGUGCUUAUAAAUUUCUCAAAGUGGGCCUAUAGAUGUUGUUAUAUAAAACAACAGACAAGAAAUAUGUCUGUACACAAAUAAUUAGAAUAAUAAAAAUUAGUAUACUUAGAGUGCCUCUGAAAAGUACCUGAGAAAAAAAAGGAAAAGGAAAAAACAGCAUGCCACACAACUCCCCCAAACUAGGGUUUUUUCAACUUGAUUAAAUGGCUGUUUCAACUUUCCUCACCUGGUAGCUGCUGAUCUAAAUAUGCCAGCAUUCAAAACACAAUUAAAGAUUAAGAGAAAAGUGCAGAUGUGGGAUCCAAAAAAAAGAGAAUUACUAACACCACCAACUAAAAGCUGAAACUCAAGUGUGUUAGUUGCAGUAAUUCAGGGUGGUGGGGUGGAAAAUAAAAACUUCCUGUGGCAAAAAAAACCCCAACAAACAAACCAACAGACCUCUCCCCUGCCCCCAAACAAAAGCUAAAAUGUUACCUGAGGCAGGGAGUAAGAAUUUGAAGGUGUUUAAAUAAAAAAAAAAAUUACCUUCCCCUCCCCUCUUUAUAAGCUCAGCUGCACUUCUUAAAGACCACAGAACAUGAGCUUGCAGUUUCAAAAUCUUGCAAAGUGUUUCUAUUGGGCCUAUACAAAAAUCCUGGGGAAAAAAACCCUGAACUACUCAGAUUGGACAACUUUACUUUUGACUAAAGUCCAUGAAAGGUCAUAAGGAAUUUGUAAAUGAGUUGUGGAGAAAACAGCAAUAAUUCUACAUAUCCAAGGAGAACCCUGUUACUGAAGCCAUUAGUGUUCAAGCUUUGAACACUCCCUACAAAUUUUCAAGGUGAAACCUAACAGCUGUCUCCAGAGCCCCAAGUAUAUCAAAGAUCUCCUUUUUGCUCCCUACAUCUGAGUUCUGAAUUCCUUUUUAUCUUUUUUAGGCACCUUUAUGUUAAAAUAAUCAGAACUCCACCCUGUGAUGAUCAGAAGCAUCAUACAGAGAAGAUUACGUAGGCUCAGCACAAUCCCCUUUGCCUUCAGAUGCUGCAGUGCAAAACAGCAGGCCACAUUACUUGCCCAACUCCCUGUGUUCCUCUGAAAACAUCAGCCCAAUUAGUAGUUUUCUGAAAACCCUUUUUAUUUCUUUUUCUUCCCUGUGCAUGUACUGGUGUUCCUCAGAAGGACGUGCUCAAUGUGAUUCCCAUUACUCAAGUAUAUUUUGCCUUCUCUGUCUAGUGAGUCCAAAUUGCUACAAACCAUCCUCAUAACUGGUCAGAUUCAUGCCGACCCAAGCGUCAUCUCCAUCUGUUUCAGUGGCUGCACUUAAGAGGGUCAAGUUGGAUGUGAGCCAUUAUCCCAGAGGUGGAAAACCAAAGCUUUACACACUAAAUCUACGGUUACCUUUGUCCCAGUGCAGUGGACAAAAGGAUGCAAGCUAGAGAACAGUAAAAAUUCUUCACUAGAGAUACAUAGGAGACUAUUUGGCAGGUGAAUUGCACUUUUGACACCUGUCAGUAAUAUAUAUGGCCAUCUAGUGAAAUGAGCUUACAUUUUUCUCAAAGGAGAAAAGCAUUUCAAACUCACUUCUGAGAACAAGGAUGAAGCAAAAACAUAAAACCUACAGCAUAAUUUUUAGGUAUAUUAAAAAAGACAUUAGUGACAUAAAGGACUGCCUCUCUUCUCUGAGACAGGUACAAGGAUGCACCUUACACUGAACCAUAAAGUUGCUACGAAAUUUUUCUCAGUCUAAACCAUUGUAGAAUAGUCUGCCCAGUUCUGGGGGAAAAGAGGCAGAGAAGCAGCCAUGGAUGGGUAUUGACAGGAGAAUACCCUCCACUGCAUGCAGAUGUGCCUCUCUAACUGCAUGAAGCAAGCCCUUAAGUGCUCCUUGGUAAUGAAAUAUGGAUUUGUUGUUUCCCAGUCAGUGUAGAAAAGCAUGAUUGCCUCUAAUUUGUAGGGUGAAGUUGUGAGGCUGCAGUAGGUAAGGUGAUUUGUUCAGGCUCAUCAACUAACCAUGGGCUGAACCUCAGCGAGGAGGAGGGUGCUCCUUCCUUCCCAAGCUAUUGCACACAGGCUUCUCCAUCACAGCUGCCCCAGUCAAGAAGUGUUCUCCAGGAAGAAAAAAAUAAAAGGCCAAAAGGCCACUGGACAAAGAAAUCAAUCCCUUUUCAGCUCUCACAGCUAGAAAACUGUUUGGUUUCAUGUUCUUUUUUUCCAUGCAAGUAUGACUUAUGUGUGCUGGAACUCAUUAACGGCCACUGUGUUAAGUCAAUUCAUUAGCCAAAUAAUGCUUAAAUAACAGUAUCUUAAAAAUGA